CCUACGGGAGGCAGCAGUGAGGAAUAUUGGUCAAUGGGCGUAAGCCUGAACCAGCCAAGUCGCGUGAGGGAUGAAGGUUCUAUGGAUCGUAAACCUCUUUUAUAAGGGAAUAAAGUGCGGGACGUGUCCCGUUUUGUAUGUACCUUAUGAAAAAGCAUCGGCUAACUCCGUGCCAGCAGCCGCGGUAAUACGGAGGAUGCGAGCGUUAUCCGGAUUUAUUGGGUUUAAAGGGUGCGUAGGCGGGCUGUUAAGUCAGCGGUAAAAGCCCGGGGCUCAACCCCGGAGAGCCGUUGAAACUGGCUGUCGUGAGAUGUCGAGAGGUAUGCGGAAUGCGCAGUGUAGCGGUGAAAUGCUUAGAUAUUGCGCAGAACUCCGAUUGCGAAGGCAGCAUACCGGCGGCGAUCUGACGCUGAGGCACGAAAGCGUGGGUAUCGAACAGGAUUAGAUACCCUAGUAGUC
rnacentral:rRNA from 1 species